UACGGGGGGGGCAAGCGUUGUUCGGAAUUACUGGGCGUAAAGGGCUCGUAGGCGGCCAACUAAGUCAGACGUGAAAUCCCUCGGCUUAACCGGGGAACUGCGUCUGAUACUGGAUGGCUUGAGUUUGGGAGAGGGAUGCGGAAUUCCAGGUGUAGCGGUGAAAUGCGUAGAUAUCUGGAGGAACACCGGUGGCGAAGGCGGCAUCCUGGACCAACACUGACGCUGAGGAGCGAAGCCAGGGGAGCAAACGGG
rnacentral:rRNA from 1 species